CCACUCGCCUCACUUCACCACAUUAUGUAAGCAUUUUAUCAUCUCACAUCAUUACAAGAAGGGUGCUGAUGCUUAAGCCACAUGGACAAUUCAUGAAUUGUUUGGUUGAAGUUUACAGAGCUUGUGAACAGCAGAGCCAGGCCGGAUGGAGCCUGCAUGAUCCUUGUGCUGAUGCUCUAGGUUCUCACCGCCACACUCACCAAAGCAUCAAGAGGAAAUGAAUGAAGAUGGUGUAGCAGAAAGGUGUCUUCAUCUAUGAAAUGUGAGCUUUGGACCUGUUUACCCCACAGCUCUUUCUGGUUUGCUGUCUAUGCCCACCAGGUUUGGAUCUUCAGCAGGAGACAGACAGGAUCACUCAAGGACCACAGUCCUGCCUGGGAAAGUUUGGAGUUUGAGCACUCAGUCCAAACUAGGAGCCCAGGAGUUAAUCUAAGGCACAAAUGCUUUCAGUGAUCAGUCUAAAAUGCAAACAGCAUUUUACUGGCAGCUUCUUAAAAGCAGAUGACUCAUUCAGAAAUAUAACAUUUGGUCGAUGGCUAUGUCAGACUUUCAGGUAAAUUUAAUCAAUGGACAACCACUAUUUUAUUUUUCUCCAAACCAGAAUUUCAUAUUACAUUUCAUUCCAUUAGCCUUGAUAUAAAGUGGCAGUUGAUAGCAAGCCAUAUUGACAGGCCCUCCUGGGCAUAAUCUAGUAGUCACCUUAAAUCACUUAUUCACGCCAUGAUUCAUGGCACGCAGAAGAGCAGGUACUCAUUGAAUAUUUAAAUAUAAAGCUAAAACA